rnacentral:rRNA from 1 species
GAAGAAAGCUGACGCAGCCAUGCCGCGUGCAGGACGACGGCCCUACGGGUUGUAAACUGCUUUUCCGGGGGAAGAAUAAGGCCCAUGCGUGGGCCGAUGCCGGUACCCCGGGAAUAAGGAUCGGCUAACUCCGUGCCAGCAGCCGCGGUAAUACGGAGGAUCCUAGCGUUAUCCGGAUUUACUGGGUUUAAAGGGUGCGUAGGCGGGCGUUUAAGUCCGCGGUGAAAGUCUGCGGCUCAACCGUAGGACUGCCGUGGAUACUGGGCGCCUUGAAUUCGGUCGAGGCGGGCGGAAUGCGUGGUGUAGCGGUGAAAUGCUUAGAUAUCACGCAGAACGCCGAUAGCGAAGGCAGCUCGCCGGGCCGAUAUUGACGCUGAUGCACGAAAGCGUGGGGAUCAAACAGGAUUAGAUACCCUGGUAGUCCACGCCGUAAACGAUGAUGGCUGGGUGUUGGCGAUACACCGUCAGCGCCUGAGGGAAACCAUUAAGCCAUCCACCUGGGGAGUACGGCCGCAAGGCUG